GACGAACGCUGGCGGCGUGCUUAACACAUGCAAGUCGAACGGAAAGGCCCUGCUUUUGUGGGGUGCUCGAGUGGCGAACGGGUGAGUAACACGUGAGUAACCUGCCCUUGACUUUGGGAUAACUUCAGGAAACUGGGGCUAAUACCGGAUAGGAGCUCCUGCUGCAUGGUGGGGGUUGGAAAGUUUCGGCGGUUGGGGAUGGACUCGCGGCUUAUCAGCUUGUUGGUUGGGUAGUGGCUUGCCAAGGCUUGGACGGGUAGCCGGCCUGAGAGGGUGACCGGGCACAAUGGGACUAAGAUACGGCCCAGACUCCUACGGGAGGCAGCAGUGGGGAAUAUUGCACAAUGGGCGGAAGCCUGAUGCAGCAACGCCGCGUGCGGGAUGACGGCCUUCGGGUUGUAAACCGCUUUCGCCUGUGACGAAGCGUGAGUGACGGUAAUGGGUAAAGAAGCACCGGCUAACUACGUG
rnacentral:rRNA from 1 species